rnacentral:misc_RNA from 1 species
UCCGAGUUGACCCCGGCAGUCUUGUUAGAGUUCCCGACAUGACUCGCUGGCAACUAACAACAGGGGUUGCGCUCGUUAUAGGACUUAACCUGACACCUCACGGCACGAGCUGACGACAACCAUGCAGCACCUUGUAACUUGCCCGAAGGAAAAGCUGUUUCCAGCCCUGUCAAGCUACAUUUAAGCCCUGGUAAGGUUCCUCGCGUAUCAUCGAAUUAAACCACACGCUCCGCUGCUUGUGCGGGCCCCCGUCAAUUCCUUUGAGUUUUAACCUUGCGGCCGUACUCCCCAGGCGGCGGGCUUAACGCGUUAGCUGCGGCACCGAAGGGCAAGCCCCCCGACGCCUAGCCCGCAUCGUUUAGGGCGUGGACUAC